CAAUCACUGAUCCGGUGCACCCGUGCGCGGUCGACAUGGGCCUUCAGCGCUGAUCGCCCCGAAUUGCUCGCGAUCGUCGUGGUAGUGGUGGCAGCGAUGCCGUCGGUGUCGACGAUCAACCCGUGC
rnacentral:misc_RNA from 1 species